rnacentral:tRNA from 1 species
AAGAUUUUAAGUUAUAUAAACUAAUAGCCUUCAAAGUUAUAAAAAAAAGUUUCAUCCUUUUAAAUCUUA